rnacentral:rRNA from 1 species
GACGAACGCUGGCGGCGUGCCUAAUACAUGCAAGUAGAACGCUGAAGCUUGGUGCUUGCACCGAGCGGAUGAGUUGCGAACGGGUGAGUAACGCGUAGGUAACCUGCCUGGUAGCGGGGGAUAACUAUUGGAAACGAUAGCUAAUACCGCAUAAGAGUAGAUGUUGCAUGACAUUUGCUUAAAAGGUGCAAUUGCAUCACUACCAGAUGGACCUGCGUUGUAUUAGCUAGUUGGUGAGGUAACGGCUUACCAAGGCAACGAUACAUAGCCGACAUGAGAGGGUGGUCGGCCAGCCUGGGACUGAGACCCGCCCCAGAGUCCUACGGGAGGCAGCAGUACGGACUCUUAGGCGAUGGACGGGAGUCUGACCGAGCGACGCGGCGGGAGUGAAGAAGGUUUUCGGAUGGGAAGGCUAUGUCGUAAGAGAAGAACGAGUGUGAGAGUGGAAAGUACACUCAGUGACGGUAUCUUACCAGAAAGGCACGGCUAACUCCGUG